rnacentral:rRNA from 1 species
GUUAUAUGGUCAAGCGAAUAAGCGCACACGGUGGAUGCCUUGGCGGUCAGAGGCGAUGAAGGACGUGGCAGCCUGCGAAAAGUAUCGGGGAGCUGGCAACAAGCUUUGAUCCGGUAAUGUCCGAAUGGGGAAACCCACCCGCUUGCGGGUAUCCUGCAGUGAAUACAUAGCUGCUGGAAGCGAACCUGGUGAACUGAAAUAUCUAAGUAACCAGAGGAAAAGAAAUCAACCGAGAUUCCGUAAGUAGCGACGAGCGAACGCGGACUAGCCCUUAAGCUGAUUUGGUUCUAGGAAAAUGCUCUGGAAAGAGCAGCCAUAGAAGGUGAUAGCCCUGUAUCUGAAAGGGCCAUUUCAGUGAAGACGAGUAGGGCGGGGCACGUGAAACCCUGUCUGAAUAUGGGGGGACCAUCCUCCAAGGCUAAAUACUACUGACCGACCGAUAGUGAACCAGUACCGUGAGGGAAAGGCGAAAAGAACCCCGGAGAGGGGAGUGAAAUAGAACCUGAAACCGUGUGCGUACAAGCAGUAGGAGCUCCGCAAGGAGUGACUGCGUACCUUUUGUAUAAUGGGUCAGCGACUUACUGUUCGUGGCAAGCUUAACCGUAUAGGGGAGGCGAAGGGAAACCGAGUCUGAUAAGGGCGCAUAGUCGCGGGCAGUAGACCCGAAACCGGGUGAUCUAGUCAUGCCCAGGGUGAAGGUGCGGUAACACGCACUGGAGGCCCGAACCCACUCCCGUUGCAAAGGUAGGGGAUGAGGUGUGAUUAGGAGUGAAAAGCUAAUCGAACCCGGAGAUAGCUGGUUCUCCUCGAAAGCUAUUUAGGUAGCGCCUCAUAUGUAUCCUCUCGGGGGUAGAGCACUGUUAUGGCUAGGGGGUCAUCGCGACUUACCAAACCAUUGCAAACUCCGAAUACCGAGACGGACUGUAUGGGAGACACACGGCGGGUGCUAACGUCCGUCGUGAAAAGGGAAACAACCCAGACCCACAGCUAAGGUCCCAAAUUUUGUGCUAAGUGGAAAACCAUGUGGAAAGGCACAGACAGCCAGGAGGUUGGCUUAGAAGCAGCCACCCUUUAAAGAAAGCGUAAUAGCUCACUGGUCGAGUCGGUCUGCGGGGAAGAUUUAACGGGGCUAAGCACAGAACCGAAGCUUGGGGUGCAUACUUUGUAUGCGCGGUAGAGGAGCGUUCCGUAAGCCGUUGAAGGUGGAUUGAGAAGUCUGCUGGAGGUAUCGGAAGUGCGAAUGCUGACAUGAGUAACGAUAAUGCGGGUGAAAAACCCGCACGCCGAAAGCCCAAGGUUUCCUUGCGCAACGUUAAUCGGCGCAGGGUGAGUCGGCCCCUAAGGCGAGGACGAAAGUCGUAGUCGAUGGGAAGCAGGUUAAUAUUCCUGCACCUCGCGUAAGUGCGAUGGAGGGACGGAGAAGGUUAGGUGUACCAGGCGUUGGUUGUCCUGGGGAAAGGCGGUAGGUUUGGAUCUUUGGCAAAUCCGGGAUCCUUCAAGACCGAGCACCGAGACGAGCCUUUAUGGCGAAGUCACUGAUACCACGCUUCCAGGAAAAGCUCCUAAGCUUCAGCUUACGCAGACCGUACCGUAAACCGACACAGGUGGGUAGGAUGAGAAUUCUCAGGCGCUUGAGAGAACUCGGGUGAAGGAACUAGGCAACAUGGCACCGUAACUUCGGGAGAAGGUGCACCCUUUUUGGUGGCUCGUGCGAGCUAUAGCUGAAGAGGGUCGCAGUAACCAGGCCGCUGCGACUGUUUAUCAAAAACACAGCACUCUGCAAACACGAAAGUGGACGUAUAGGGUGUGACGCCUGCCCGGUGCUGGAAGGUUAAUUGAUGGGGUCAGCCGCAAGGCGAAGCUCUUGAUCGAAGCCCCAGUAAACGGCGGCCGUAACUAUAACGGUCCUAAGGUAGCGAAAUUCCUUGUCGGGUAAGUUCCGACCUGCACGAAUGGCGUAACGACAGCGGCGCUGUCUCCACCCGAGACUCAGUGAAAUUGAAAUCGCUGUGAAGAUGCAGCGUUCCCGUGGCAAGACGGAAAGACCCCGUGAACCUUUACUAUAGCUUUACACUGAACGUUGAGUUCGUCUGUGUAGGAUAGGUGGGAGGCUAUGAAACUGUGGCGCUAGCUGCAGCGGAGCCAUCCUUGAAAUACCACCCUGUCGUGCUUGACGUUCUAACCUGGGCCCAUUAUCUGGGUCGGGGACCGUGUAUGGUGGGUAGUUUGACUGGGGCGGUCUCCUCCUAAAGAGUAACGGAGGAGCUCGAAGGUACGCUCAGCGCGGUCGGACAUCGCGCACUGUGUGCAAAGGCAUAAGCGUGCUUGACUGCAAGAUCGACGGAUCAAGCAGGUAGGAAACUAGGACUUAGUGAUCCGGUGGUUCUGUAUGGAAGGGCCAUCGCUCAACGGAUAAAAGGUACUCCGGGGAUAACAGGCUGAUACCGCCCAAGAGUUCAUAUCGACGGCGGUGUUUGGCACCUCGAUGUCGGCUCAUCACAUCCUGGGGCUGUAGUCGGUCCCAAGGGUAUGGCUGUUCGCCAUUUAAAGUGGUACGCGAGCUGGGUUCAGAACGUCGUGAGACAGUUCGGUCCCUAUCUGCCAUGGGCGUUGGAGAUUUGAGAGGGGCUGCUCCUAGUACGAGAGGACCGGAGUGGACGAACCUCUGGUGUUCCGGUUGUCACGCCAGUGGCAUUGCCGGGUAGCUAUGUUCGGAAGCGAUAACCGCUGAAAGCAUCUAAGCGGGAAGCGCGCCUCAAGAUGAGAUCUCCCGGGGCACAAGCCCCCUGAAGGAACCAUGUAGACUACGUGGUUGAUAGGUCAGGUGUGUAAGUACAGCAAUGUAUUGAGCUAACUGAUACUAAUGAUCCGUGCGGCUUGACCAUAUAACCU